UGGGGAAUUUUGGACAAUGGGCGAAAGCCUGAUCCAGCAAUGCCGCGUGAGUGAAGAAGGCCUUCGGGUUGUAAAGCUCUUUUGUCAGGGAAGAAACGGUGAAAGCUAAUAUCUUUUGCUAAUGACUGUACCUGAAGAAUAAGCACCGGCUAACUACGUUCCAGCAGCCGCGGUAAUACGUAGGGUGCAAGCGUUAAUCGGAAUUACUGGGCGUAAAGCGUGCGCAGGCGGUUUUGUAAGUCUGAUGUGAAAUGCCCGGGCUCAACCUGGAAAUUGCAUUCGAGACUGCAAGGCUAGAAAAUGGCAGAGGGAGGUAGAAUUCCUCGUGUAGCAGUAAAAUGCGUAGAUAUGUGGAGGAACACCGAUGGCGAAGGCAGCCCACUGGGUCAAGUUUGACGCUAAAGCACGAAAGCGUGGGGAGCAAAC
rnacentral:rRNA from 1 species